UCCGGCUUAACGCCGGCAGUCUCCAGUGAAAAAUACAACACUGGAUGAGGGUUUCGCUCGUUUACGGACUUAACCGUACAUCUCACGACACGAGCUGACGGCGACCGUGCAACACCUGUCUUAGGGUUCCUUGCGGCACGGCUCUGUUUCCAGAGCUUUCCCUAGAUGUCAAGCCUGGGUGAGGUGCCCCGCUUGUCGUCGAAUUAAACCACAUGCUCCACCGCUUGUGCGAGCCCCCGUCAAUUCCUUUGAGUUUUAGUCUUGCGACCGUACUUCCCAGGCGGCAGACUUAACGCGUUAGCUUCGGCACAAAGAGGGUCGAUACUCCCAAUGCCUAGUCUGCAUCGUUUACGGCGUGGACUAC
rnacentral:misc_RNA from 1 species